AACGAACGCUGGCGGCAGGCUUAACACAUGCAAGUCGAACGCAUCCUUCGGGGUGAGUGGCAGACGGGUGAGUAACGCGUGGGAACGUGCCCUUCAGUUCGGGAUAACCCAGGGAAACUUGGGCUAAUACCGGAUACGUGCGAGAGCAGAAAGAUUUAUCGCUGAAGGAUCGGCCCGCGUCUGAUUAGCUAGUUGGUGGGGUAAUGGCCCACCAAGGCGACGAUCAGUAGCUGGUCUGAGAGGAUGAUCAGCCACAUUGGGACUGGGACACGGCCCAAAGUCCUACGGGAGGCAGCAGUGGGGAAUAUUGGACAAUGUGCGCAAGCCUGAUCCAGCCAUGCCGCGUGAGUGAUGAAGGCCUUAGGGUUGUAAAGCUCUUUCGUCCGGGACGAUAAUGACGGUACCGGAAGAAGAAGCCCCGGCUAACUUCGUGCCAGCCGCCGCAGUAA
rnacentral:rRNA from 1 species